rnacentral:rRNA from 1 species
CAGCAGCCGCGGUAAUACGGAGGGUGCGAGCGUUAUCCGGAAUCACUGGGUUUAAAGGGUGCGUAGGCGGCUUCGUAAGUCUGGUGUGAAAUCUCACGGCUCAACCGAGAGGCUGCACCAGAUACUGCGGAGCUCGAGGACGGGAGAGGAGAUCGGAAUUCCCGGUGUAGCGGUGAAAUGCAUUGAUAUCGGGAGGAACACCAGUGGCGAAGGCGGAUCUCUGGCCCGUUGCUGACGCUGAGGUGCGAAAGCUGGGGGAGCGAAAGGGAUUAGAUACCCCAGUAGUCCUAGCCGUAAACGAUGGACACUAGACGUUGGCCGAUCGACCCGGUCAGUGUCGGAGCUAACGCGUUAAGUAUCCCGCCUGGGGAGUACGCACGCAAGUGUGAAACUCAAAGGAAUUGACGGGGGCCCGCACAAGCGGUGGAGCAUGUGGUUUAAUUCGAUGCAACGCGAAGAACCUUACCAGGGCUUGACAUGCCGCGAAACCUGCGGAAACGUGGGG